GAAGCGGUGGGGAAAUCUCCUCCGGCGAAGGGGAUUGCGCGGUCCAGCGAGUUCCCAGGUGUUCCGGCGGUCAUGGAGUUCUUGAUGCAGUCGAUAAACAGAACACUGCUAGAGGAGGUCAAUGAUAACAACAGCACCUUGGAGCAUGUUCUGUUCCUGGUCAUCGCGCCGGCGGAGGUUGGGAUGCCAGCACCGGCGGCUUCAAGUGCAGACGGCAAAUCUGUCGUGAGGGUGCUACUGGAGAGCCUGCAAGUGCAGAUAAGGCUCAAGGUUCUGAGUACUCCAUAGAGCAAGUAGAUCCAAAAACUCCGGGGUGGACACAAAGAGUGUGUGUCGGUGCUGCCGCGCUAGGCAGAGCUCCUUGCCCGGACAAGGUCACUGAAGAAGUCCGUCCUGAUCCGUGGUACAUGAUUGAUGCUUUUUCGGUAACUAUGCUAGCAGCCAUGGGUCGAUGGAGCAGAUGUCUCCUAUCUCGCUAGCGUGGAUCCUUCUUUUCUCAAGAGCGGCGAUCCGGUGGAAACCCCAUCUGUGAGAAGGCGCCUGCGGUUACCGGCAAAGAUGGAGCUCUUGAUGCAGUUGAUUAACAGAAGAACUGUUGUAGUCUUGUAGAGGAGGUGAAUGGCAGCGACAUACCCAUGGAGCCCCUGACGACACCGCAUGGGGGCAAGCUGCCGGCCAUGACGGCAUCAAGUGCGGACGGGCAGAUAUGUGCGGCAGAGGUGGUGGCAGAGGCAACGAUUCGAGAACCGACUCAGGCGUCCAAGCAUUCUAUAGAGCAGACCGCCCAAAAACGGUCAGGAUUGGGGCUGCUGAGCCUGGCAAGGCACCGCCCUAAUAGGAUUUCAGCAAUGGAGAAAUCAACACGCGGUUUUGCUGAAAACACUGGAGACUAUGUCAUUGUGCCGAAAUUAGGAACCAACUUUCAUACAUUGGGUGAAGCCUAUGAUUUUUACAAUCUGUAUUCGUGGAAGAAAGGAUGGGCAUUAGGUACGGAGAGAGGAGACUAAAAGUGAAUAGGACGAAAUGCAUGCAAAAAAUAGUCUGUAGAUGCACGUGGAAGCCGAUAGUGGAGAACACACGCUCUUGCCACUGUGAUUGCCUUGCUCUCAUAAGACUGAUGUGUUUCAAAGACAAUGGUUGGUACAUAGCCGAGCACCCUAAGGAGCACAACCAUUUGUUAUCUCCCACCUAUGGGCAGACAAUAAAUACACAGGCAGUCACACAAACAUAUCGACGUGUACAGAAAUGAAGUUGCAGAAAUAAGGCACUGCCUUGGAUUAGAACACAGGUUGGCUGAGAAUGGAGAUGGUGUGAACCAGAUUCAGCCACAAGGUGCUAUGGUGGUUAUGGGAGACAAAGUGCAUAGUGUUAUGGGCAACGAUGAUAACAAUGCGGCUAAUGUGUCCUGGAAUACGAAGGCCACCAUCGGAACAACUGCCACAAAGCAGCCGAACUCAGACUGAAUAAUUGAUGGGACUGUUUAGUUAAUUUCAGCAUAUUACGUUUCUGCCCAGUUUAAGUUAUGAUGUAUUUUAAUAAUUAGAACUUGUCUGUAAACCAACUGGACAAAAUAAUUUGUUUCUUCCUUCGCUCGUGAGCACACUCUAACACUAAAAAUGGUUGAGCUUUCUUUGAAUA